AUACGGAGGGUGCAAGCGUUACUCGGAAUCACUGGGCGUAAAGCGCAUGCAGGCGGCCAGAUAAGUUGGAAGUGAAAGCCUACGGCUCAACCGUAGAACUGCUUCCAAAACUGUCUGGCUAGAGUCUGGGAGGGGAAGAUGGAAUUAGUAGUGUAGGGGUAAAAUCCGUAGAGAUUACUAGGAAUACCAAAAGCGAAGGCGAUCUUCUGGAACAGUACUGACGCUGAGGGACGAAAGCGUGGGGAGCGAACAGGAUUAGAAACCCUAGUAGUCC
rnacentral:rRNA from 1 species